rnacentral:rRNA from 1 species
GACGAACGCUGGCGGCGUGCUUAACACAUGCAAGUCGAACGGGCCUUGUCCCCUUUUUUUUUGGGGGUGGGGUUAGUGGCGAACGGGUGAGUAACACGUGAGUAACCUGCCCCUCACUUCUGGAUAACCGCUUGAAAGGGUGGCUAAUACGGGGUGUUCUGGCCUGCUCGCAUGGGUGGGUUUGGAAAGAUUCGACCGGUUUUGGUUGUUUUGGUGGGGGAUGGGCUCGCGGCCUAUCAGCUUGUUGGUGGGGUGAUGGCCUGCCUAGGCUUUGACGGGUAGCCGGCCUGAGAGGGUGGGCGGUCACACUGGGACUGAGACACGGCCCAGACUCCUACGGGAGGCAGCAGUGGGGAAUAUUGCACAAUGGGCGCAAGCCUGAUGCAGCGACGCCGCGUGAGGGAUGGAGGCCUUCGGGUUGUGAACCUCUUUCGCCAGUGAAGAAGGUCCUGCUCUUUGUGGUGGGGUUGACGGUAGCUGGGUUAAUGAAGCGCCGGCUAACUACGUG